rnacentral:rRNA from 1 species
AUUGAACGCUAGCGGCAUGCCUUACACAUGCAAGUCGAACGAUAACAGGUCUUCGGAUGCUGACGAGUGGCGAACGGGUGAGUAAUACAUCGGAACGUGCCUAGUAGUGGGGGAUAACUACUCGAAAGAGUGGCUAAUACCGCAUGAGAUCUACGGAUGAAAGCAGGGGAUCGCAAGACCUUGUGCUACUAGAGCGGCCGAUGGCAGAUUAGGUAGUUGGUGGGAUAAAAGCUUACCAAGCCGACGAUCUGUAGCUGGUCUGAGAGGACGAUCAGCCACACUGGGACUGAGACACGGCCCAGACUCCUACGGGAGGCAGCAGUGGGGAAUUUUAGACAAUGGGCGCAAGCCUGAUCCAGCAAUGCCGCGUGCAGGAUGAAGGCCUUCGGGUUGUAAACUGCUUUUGUACGGAACGAAAAGGCCCGGGUUAAUACCCUGGGGUCAUGACGGUACCGUAAGAAUAAGCACCGGCUAACUACGUGCCAGCCGCCGCAGUAA